AUUGAACGCUGGCGGCAGGCCUAACACAUGCAAGUCGAGCGCGGGGCGGACGGGUGAAUAAUGUCUGGGAAACUGCGUGAUGGGGGGGGAUAACUACGGGAAGCGGUAGAUAAUACCGCAUACCAUCAGAUGUGCCCAGAGGGGAUUAGCGAGUAGGUGGGGUAAUGGCUCACCUAGGCGACGAUCCCUAGCUGGUCUGAGAGGAUGACCAGCCACACUGGAACGGAGACACGGUCCAGACUCCUACGGGAGGCAGCAGUGGGGAAUAUUGCACAAUGGGCGCAAGCCUGAUGCAGCCAUGCCGCGUGUGUGAAGAAGGCCUUCGGGUUGUAAAGCACUUUCAGCGAGGAGGCGUUACUCGCAGAAGAAGCACCGGCUAACUCCGUGCCAGCAGCCGCGGUAAUAC
rnacentral:rRNA from 1 species